rnacentral:rRNA from 1 species
GGGUCAGUAGGUUGGUCGUGCCACCGGUACGUACUGGUCUCACUGAUUCCUCCUUCCUGAAGAACCGUAAUGCCAUUAAUUUGGUGUUGCGGGGAAACAGGACUGUUACUUUGAAAAAAUUAGAGUGUUUAAAGCAAGCUAACGCAUGAAUACAUUAGCAUGGAAUAAUGGAAUAGGACGAUCGAUCCUAUUUUGUUGGUUUCUAGGAUUGACGUA